UGCAGAGAAGUAUCCAGUCUCCCCUCAAUCAUGCAGGGUACGCGACGCAGACGUGGUUGUCUUUGUUGGAAAGAGUGAAAUAAGUAUUUUAAAGUAAGAUUCAGAUAAGAGAGAGAACUACUGCAGCUGCAGGUCGCUGUGGAGAGAGGAGCGCGUGAGAAACUCUGGCGGGUGUUUUCUUGGUAUUUAACUUGCUGAUCCUCCACCAACAGGCGGUGUUGUUAGCUUCAUGCUAACAGUUCUAUCAGCUCCACUGAGGUCAGCUGAUGCAGAGCAGGUUCAUCUGUUAUACAAGGAGGCGUGGCUUAUCAACAUUCAUGGAGCAUGAAGAGGAUUUCAACCACAGUCUCAUCAUCGUUUCCUGCCGCUUCACCUUCUCCCACCACAGAUAAAUGACAACAUUAACAUAAAGGGCCUCCAGGAGAUGAGCUUUUCUUCUCUCCUCCAUUAUGAUCUGAAUGACACAGUAAAACCUCAGAGAGAGACCGUCAUUAAAUCAGCUGUUCACACAGGAUCAAUGCUGAGCAGAUACAACAUGAAGGUGUCACCUGUUUCAUCAAGACAAACACACAGGAGAUUUAACGAGUCUCAUUCUCACCUGUGUCACCAUCAUGUCUAAUGAAGACUGAUGAUAGAAUCACUGCAGACGCUGAACAGGGUUUAAUAUGAACUUAUUAAAUGAAUAAUAUGAAUCAUA